rnacentral:rRNA from 1 species
CAGCAGCCGCGGGAAUACGUAGGGGGCGAGCGUUGUCCGAAGUUACUGGGCGUAAAGAGCACGUAGGCGGGUCUUUAAGUGAGGGGUGAAAGGUUCAUGGCUCAACCCGGACACUGCCUUUCAUACUGGAGACCUUGAGUGUGGGAGAGGCGAGUGGAAUGGUCGGUGUAGCGGUGAAAUGCGUAGAUAUCGAUCGGAACACCCAUGGCGAAGGCAGCUCGCUGGCCUAUAACUGACGCUGAGGCGCGAAAGCGUGGGGAGCAAACAGGAUUAGAGACCCCUGUAGUCCCUGUCUCUUAUU